CUACGGGACGCUGCAGUGGGGAAUAUUGGACAAUGGGGGAAACCCUGAUCCAGCAAUGCCGCGUGUGUGAAGAAGGCCUGCGGGUUGUAAAGCACUUUCGGUUGGGAGGACUGCUUCUAGCACUAAUAUUGUUGGAAGUUGACGUUACCUUCAGAAGAAGCACCGGCUAACUCCGUGCCAGCAGCCGCGGUAAUACGGAGGGUGCAAGCGUGAAUCGGAAUUACUGGGCGUAAAGCGCGCGUAGGCGGCUAGAUCAGUCGGGUGUGAAAGCCCCGGGCUUAACCUGGGAACUGCAUCCGAUACUGGCUAGCUUGAGUACAGGAGAGGAGAGUGGAAUUCCACAUGUAGCGGUGAAAUGCGUAGAUAUGUGGAGGAACACCAAUGGCGAAGGCAGCUCUCUGGCCUGAUACUGACGCUGAGGUGCGAAAGCGUGGGGAGCAAACAGGAUUAGAUACCCUAGUAGUC
rnacentral:rRNA from 1 species